rnacentral:lncRNA from 1 species
AUGUUUCAUGGAACAAUCAUAGAAGAGCUAACCAAUCACAGAGAAUGGAGUCACUAUAAUGAAAAUAUAAUAGAAGAUCAAAAAGAUUUUGUUUUUGUGAAGUUCAGUGGCCUUCAUUUAAAAUCUAUGGAAAAUCUUCAAUCUUGUAUCUCUCUUAGAGUAUGCAUCUUCUCAAACAAUUUUAUUACAGAUAUUCGUCCACUUCAGAGUUGCAUGAAAUUAAUCAAACUUGAUCUCCAUGGAAAUCAGGGAUCAACCUAUGAAGAUGAAAUUGAUAAUAUCAAACACAUUAUUUCAAAAGUUAAUGAAAUUCUGGCUCAUAACUCACCAGUUUUGAUUAUUCAAAGAUGGACACGUGGUUUCUUAGUUAGGAAAAAAGUGAGCCACUUGUUCUUGUAUAAAAAACGUGAAAAAUCUAUUAGUGAAUGUGAAAAAAGAUGGAUUUACAAGCACAAAGGAUUUGAUGAUAAACUCUUUAAGGAACUCUUUUUUCAGCCUGGAACUAAUAUAGCAGAAAAGUUUGCACGCUGGAAAUAUGGUAAAAAAAAAUUAUGGGUCAAUUUUCACUGA